AUUACGAGCUAUGCUUAAAACCCAAAGGACUUGGCGGUGUCCCACCCACCUAGAGGAGCCUGUUCUAUAAUCGAUGAUCCCCGAUACACCCAACCAUUCUUCGCCUAUCAGUCUGUAUACCUCCGUCGAAAGCCUACCAUGUCAACGUUACAGUAGGCCCAAUGAUCCCCAUCAACACGUCAGGUCAAGGUGCAGCUUACGGAAUGGAAAGCAAUGGGCUACAAUUUCUAAUUUAGAACAAACGAAAGACUAUGUAACCCUUAGUCAUGAAGGCGGAUUUAGUAGUAAAAGGAAAAUAGAGUGUUCCUUUUAACCCGGCUCUGGGACGCGUACACACCGCCCGUCACCCUCUUCGAUAGCACUUCAUCACGGUAUUUAACCCAAUGCCGCAUGUUAGAACAGGCAAGUCGUAACACGGUAA
rnacentral:rRNA from 1 species